GGCCGGAAAGUUUGCGCAGCGAGAGGGACUCUCCUUCCGUGUCUCUCCCGCGCUGCCCCCUUCUGCCCCGGAGGGGCGUUAGAGUCCCCUCGGGUUUUCCUUUCAAAUUCUAAAAUAAAAAAAUAAUAUAUGCCCAGGCCCUGGGGAAAUUGGAAUAGUAAUUCAUUCAAUAAAUGAAAUUAUAUGAGAGGUUUUGGGAAAACCCCAAGCCAACCGCAUGUGCCCUCCGAUCAAGUAGGGCAAGAGAGUGAGAAGGCGACAGAAGAGGUCCCCGGCUCGCCCUGGGCACACGGGCGAGGACUCUGGUCAGAGGUAAUUAUGUCACUGCGUUUUCUCGCUGUGACAGCCGAAUAAACACAAUCUCCAAUAAACAUCUCUAAUGAGGGAGGAGGCCCGAGGAUGGCUGGGUUUGAUUUAUGACUGGAGGAGAAGGUCCACUUCCCACUGAGAAGCGGGCAACCUGCUCACCGCCCAGACCCGGAGAAAGGAAUCCGCGGAGGAGAGGACCCAGGCCCAGGAUAUGAUCCAGGAUUCCAUGUUGCAUCAGAUCUGCUGAUUUUUUAGACUCAAAGCCUUGGAGGGCUGAGCUGAACACACCUCCGCUGGAAAAUUAUCUGGAGCCAGCAUUUAUUGGGUGCUUAGGGUUUGCCAUCCUCACCACACUGCGGGGGAUCGGGAUGUCAGCUCUCUCACCUAAGGACCCGUUCGAGCGUGGAGGAGAAUGUGAAGACGAGCCGAGGCUGCCCUAAAAUAAUCAUAAAGAAGGAGAGACGCGCCCCCGGUGUAUUGGCACGUGUUUCACAAGUUGCGCUUAGCAAAUACAAGUCCUUGUGAGCGCUGCCUUUUAUGUGGCAGUAAACCAUCUCUGAUGGUGUCGAGCGCAGAGGCUCACGCCAGCUAACCCAGCCUGCCUCGGAGGGCCCUCCCCAGGGGCUCGCGCCUUCCCACGGCAGAGGGAGGGCACAUCAGAUCGAGGCGGGUGCCCAAGGGAGGUCGUGAUGUGUUUUGUCUGCUCGACCCUGGCAGUGGUGCGCCUAUGUUCCUCUGCUUGAGCCAAUCCUCAAGACAUUUGGCAGAGGAGGAAACUGCGGCCUUGAGGAAAGAACCGCCGGAAGAAGAUCAGUGCUGGGAUAUUUGCUCCUCAUCCUCUGUUCUUCUGACGCCACCUCGUGCCCUCUCUUUGCCUGGUUGUCACUUCCUGGUGCCCUCACUUCUACCCGUGUGACCUAGAUUGAACCUCAAUCCAAGAGCUAUUCAAGCAGCCAAGGAGAGAAGGAUAACGUGGGGCAGAAGCAUGGUUCCACAGAACACAGGGCCGGCGCACCGGGCACAUCCUGCACAGAUUCAAGGAAGCAGAAAGCCACCGGGACUUGCACAUCGAGAGAAGCCUUCAGGGAGAGAAGUGAGGGAGCUCCCAGGUUACUUCCUGUUCAAAAGCCACUGAAGUGGACGCAAAAGGCAAGGAGAGCCCGAGGCCUUGGCAUCUCCGCCGGCCCAACCUGCAAAGGAAUCCAGCACCCACUGCCCGUGAGGUCUUUGAAGGAAGACGGUGUGGGGCCUGGCGGUCUCCGCAGGAGGGGAGCAGGGAGGGAGGGAGGAGGGCUAUGUCUGGACCGGUCUCUCUCCGCCACCCACAGAAGGCUCCUCCUUCAUUUGGAAGCCUCCUAACCUGAGCACAAAUGAGACCCCCUGGGAUCCCAAAAUAGCUCCCCUCACAGCUGCACAGCAUCCAUUUAUAGCACAGCAUCUCUGCAGCCUCAGGCUGCUCCUGGGACGGCCCUUCUGAGCUCAGCAUCUGCGAACACCAGGCUCCAUGUCAUUUAAAAGCAGAAAUACUCAUAAAGGACCUAUUAUGGCCUUGUCACUGUUUUCCAGAACUUGCCUCAACCCUCAGAGACCUCAAAGGGCCAAAUUUGUUUUGACCCAGAGCCAGACCAUGUUUUGUCCAACAAUAACCCAGAGGCCGGUCGGGUCCCUUCCUCUGGGCUCGGCAGCAGUUGAGAAUGUUCUACUUGGUGGCAGCAGGACAAACAGUACCAAACUGAUGCUUGGGCCUUAGACCAAGUCACUCGGACAGCCCCAGGGCAGAACCACCAUUAGGCUCUAUGUCUAUACUGUCCACUUACUAGCAAGGAAAGUAACUGAGGCCUCUUAUUGACAUUAUCCACUCAUGUUAUCGGUGCUAACUCUGAAUGUCAAAUUAUAGAGCAAAGAAACACCCCCGGCCCCAUCGAGGUAGGUUCUGUACUUCCUUCUCAUAUGAACUUUAACCCACUUUUUCACAUGCGACUUAUGUAGAGACAGACUGAAACCGUCCAUUGAUAAUCAAGUGUAUGUUGCUUUUUCACCCCCGACUCUGAGCGGAGCUGAGAGAUCAGAAGUGACCCUGGCUGGCCGCUUGCAGUUUGCUCAGCCUCCUUCUGCUUUCUGUGACAGCCACUGGCACUUGUCUUCCUGAGACAAACAUUUUUUUGUUCAAGCAGAUUCAGGCCGCCUCUGGAAUCGGUCCAGAGCAGUUUUCUGAAGGUGGGGGGAGGGGGCUUCCUUUCCAAAGUUGCUGAGUGGGAGCAAGUCUCUGCUGAUGAGCCUUUCCGGGGGUGGGGGGGGAGUGGGGGGGAAGGCCUGGAGGGAGUUCAUAAGAGCCGGGCCACUGACAGGACAUAUCUGCCCUGUUAAGGCGACCGAGGCCCUAGCGCAGGGUAGCAACAUUCAUCCAGGGGUAAGAAACCUGUGUGAUCAUGUCCCCUCCCCACCUCCCCGACCUAUUAAAGAGAGUUCUUUCUAGAGCAGUCUUAGAUUCACAGCAAAAUUGAGCAGAAAGUACAGAGAAUUCCCUUAUCCUCCCUGCCCCCCCACCUCACUAUCAAAUCCCCACCGUGGCACAUUUGUUAUAAUUGAUGAAUUUACAUGGACACAUCAUUAUCAACCAAAGUCCAUGGUUUACCAUAGGGUUCCGUCUUGGUGUUAUAUUUUAAGAUGGGAAUAUGUAUUUAUUUGCAUGUGUAUGUGUCAGGAUUGCUCUGAAGAAAGACCCCAGUACAGGCCAACAGCGGACAUCAUGGCUAUUAUUACUGGAGUCAGUCACAAGAGAGAAAUGGAUUUCUUCCCAAGACUUCCUUGGUUACUGCACUGAUGAAGGCACAAGUCGAAAGACUUACGUUUUAGUAAUUUUUUUGGUUGCUAUUGACUUCUCUCUUGUUCCCCUCUGGUGUCAUCAAAUUUGAGCCAAUUCUGAGCCAGACGCAUAAAGGGAAUCCCGGCUGUUGGUGAACGCUGAGGAAGAGGCAAAGGCAUAAAUAUAGGGAGUGGGUGCCUGAGUGCUAAGUGAUGGAGAUUGAAGGGGAAAUUACCCCUCUUCUUCUGCUUUACAAAUUCACAAACAUCUAGUCCACCACGAAGUCUAUAACAGCCAUUUGAUAAACACAAAAUUCAAUUAAACUGAUUCAGAAAUGGCUCUAGCCUGGACAUUUAAACCAAUAGCCAAUUGCUGCAGAGAAAAUGCUGGAGCAGAUGGAUGUUUCUCUAGAUCUUAUCUGCCUUGGGUUUUCAGGUGAAUUCAUCCCAGAAAUGAGGGGUUGUGGAACUUGGUACCUGGGAUUUCAUGGAGUCCUUGGGAAGUUCAAGUCACCCCAAAAUGCUUACUUCUUGAGUCAUCUCCUUUUGCCUUCUUACAUCAUCUAAUUUAAAAUGUAUACUUUUGUUAAGGGUAGGGUUCAAGUUUAUUAAUCAUUAAUCAUCUUAUUGUAAUUAUGUCAGUGCAAAUGUAAUAGGUAGAUCAACAUUGACAUAUUAUUUCCAUUAAUAUACAUUACUUGUAGUUUUCUAUUUAGUCACUAACCGUGGCUCAUUCACCUUUUUAGGCUGAAUCAUCAGAUGUGAAGAGCCAUCCAGGGCAUUUCUGAGUUCUGAUUGGUUGCACUAGCUCGAAAUCUGAUUAGUCCAAAAUUUGGCCCCAAAAGUCUCAGCAAAAGUCUUGUCCCGUGUGUGUUUGAAAUUUUACAGAGUGAUUCAUAGCUGUUAUUUGUUCUAAGCAAAUAUCUGACAAGUUUCUGAUCCAUUGAUUUUGCAGAGGAAAUGUUUCCAAGUGCCAUUGCCUUUCCCUAAAAGCCAGCUUAAAGCCCACACAUGUUUAUAUUGCGUGUUAUGUUCAAAGAGCAUUUAGGUAAGUGGAGUGGGAUAUAGAACCACCUACGGUUCUGUCUUAUCUUGCUGGACUGGGAGGAUGUUUCCUGUGACCUCUCAAGGCACGUGAACACACAAUGCGCUAGGCAGCCCUCCGGUUUUCCUCCUGCAACAUCGGCAUUGGACAGCCUGGUGGAACAGAGGUGGUCUGGGAGGCACAAGGCCUGGGUAUUGGUUUUGAUUGUCCUACUGAAGAGUCGUAGCCCCUUAGCAAAGUGCCUUAACCAUUUGAUUCUCACUUCUUUUCUCUAUAAACGGGAAAAGGAAUACCUGUCUACCACAUCUUAGCACGUUGUGGUUGGAGCCAAAUGAGAACUUGGGCAAAUAAGAAGGCUUUGGUAGGGAGUUCCCUUCCUGGCUCAGUGGUUAACGAACCCAACUAGGAUCUACAAGGAUAUGGGUCGAUCCCUGGCCUUGCUCAGCGGGUUAAGGAUACAGCAUUGUCAUGAGCUGUGGUGAAGGUCACAGAUGUGGCUUCGAUCCCAAGCUGCUGAGGCUGUGGCUGUGGCCUAGGCCGGCGGCUGCAGCUCCGAUUCGACCCCUAGCCUGGGAACCUCCAUAUGCCAUGGGUGCAGCCCUAAAAAG
rnacentral:lncRNA from 1 species